UGCAUGGUUGCCAACACACGUCCUUGAAAAAUAAAUGUGGGUCAGGAGGUCAACGCGCUCGCUCUUUCGCCGCACCGUCUGCGUCCCCAUCAGCCACCAGGUGAAACGCCAUUAACAGGUGUCUCCCUGAAUAGCCACCUGUUACACCGGAAACGCCUUCAUCGCAAAAAAGACACCGGAAACUGGCCACCACCACGCCUACCCCGUGAAAAAUACACACAAGUCAAGCUGUCUCUCUUCGAUUGGGGUGAAGUCUUUUGAUUUUUUUUUGAAGCACACCAAGGGGGACCUACCGAACAUUUAAUAUCACGGUUUGUUGACAGCCUCCGAUGGAAGGAUUUAGCCGGUUCUGUCUCGCCGUCGCUCUCGGAGGAUUCUUCGCCGCCUCCUGGAGACCGUCCAGCCAAAUUCUUCGCACUUUUACCACCCGACGCCAUACUACAAUGCCGACAUUUCUUUAUUUAUAAACACGACGCCCCCGACGCACACGACGCCCGACAGGUGGCGCUUUAAUUGGGGCAAACGCCGGGAAGUAACAACACAAAGUUGGAAAAAUCUAGUAAAUUUAAGUUUAUUAUGUUGCAUUACUACUUUAGUAAUUUUAAUGAGUUUAAACUUGCUACAUGAAACAAGAACUCAUUUUUUGUUAUUUCAAAGUCGGGAAGUUUUAGCAAGAUUUAGUUGGCAUGUUGGCAAGACUGAAAUUACAGUCGACCGAAAAUUUGCUGCUCGUGUUGCGUUGUGGCAUUUCCCCCACCACUCUCGUUUCGUGCAGCCAGGUUCACACUCGAAAAAUUAUUGGAAUGUUAUUAUAAUAAAGCAUAAUAUUUUACAAAACAUGGAAAAAUAAGCAUUUUCAAUUGCAAAUGACUAUUGUAGAUAGUUUUUUGAAUGUAAUUCUGUCAUGAAUAACAAUUUCAAUGAAUUAUAUUGUUGCAACUGUGCGAUUCAAGGUCAAAUAUAUUUCACUUAUGCAUU